GUAAACAAGUCAUUUAUGCUAAACAUCGGAUGUCUAUUCGAUAUUUGCGUAUUUCUUAAAGAUAACUGGAACGGUUUAACCCUCUAGUCCAUUGCUUCAGGGUAACAUACCCAUUUUCCCUCAGUUUCCCAGGCACAAUAAAUCAUACACCAAUAAAAAUGUUCAUUUGUAAUCUGGAGGAAGUAUAAGAAGCCAAUAGUCUGCUUGUAUUUGAUCACAUGACUUGUCCCAUCCCUCUUUUCAAUCUCUUUUCCUCACUUGUACUCACAUGUGGCAGCCAUGUUUUUUCAGCUCCACAAAACUUUGAAAAAGUGACGUUAUCUUGAGGAUUUCCAUAAAAUAAAAAAUAUUUUCACAAUUUUGGACAUAGAUCUGCAGAGCUUCAAAGAAACGAAGAGCCUGUUGGAUGGGAUAAUUUCCUGUAUGGGAUUUGAGAAAAAUGCAGAUUUAUUUCUGCACUUUGUUCUUUUUUCUACCCUUGGUUAAUAAUAAAAAGCAAGUUAAAUUUGGGGAACCCGUUACUUUAGAUUGCUUUCAAAGCAAGGAACCUGUCACCUACAUUUACUGGACAUAUAAAAAUGUAACUGCAAAUGUUAAAGGGAAAGAAAUACUUUCAUUCAUAAAUAACAAGAUUACAAUAAAGCCAUCAUUUGAAAAUUUAAUUAGUCCAGCAGGAGACUUCAAAAAAGGAAAUUUUUCCAUAACAUUAAGGCCAAUCACCUUUGAGUAUGGUGGGCAAUAUGUAUGUUUUACCCAAAUAAAUGGAUCAAAUGCUAAUCAAACAUCAGUGUUCGACAUAGAUGUUAUUGGCUGGGAUCAACAUGCCAGUGUUCCUUCUGGAAACAUAUUAAAUUUAUAUCUGCACUCAAAUGAGUCUGUGCAAUUGGACUUCUGGAGAAAUGGAGAAAAGCACAACGUUGGCAAAAUACAAAUUAAUUCCCAAAAAUGUGACCUGGACAACAGAUACAAGAACCGUUUCGAAUUGGGGAAUGAGGUGCUAAGAAUACAUCGUGUCACUCCUGACGAUGCUGGUGUCUACACGGUGCAAGAUGAACGUUCUGGAAAAAACAUUAGCAUUGUAAGACUGGAAAUAACUAAUCCAAAAGAUUUGUCAAAUUCCACCAGCAAGAACAGUACAGAACAAGGUAAUAUACCUGUGUUGGGUUUUUAAGGUAUAUUUCAAUUUCUAAGGUAAUAUGCUUCAUUUUUAACAUAGUCUCUGUGUGUUUUUUAGGCACCUCUAAGGCACGUAUAUGUGUUUAUGUGAUGAUUCCACUAUUCAUAUGUUGCAUCAUAGCUGCCCUCAUUUAUUUCUGUAAGAACUACAGAAUUGAUAGAUCUAUGAAAGGUAGAAGAUUCAAUGUUACAUACCGACACACACAACAAGAAGAUAAUUAGAAAUUCAAAUAAGAAGAGGAAAGGGGUGUGUGCCGUUCCUGAUAUCUUUGGAAGAGGAUGAAGGUGCUCUCCGUCUUGCUUUAUGGCUGUGACACAUGGACACUAUCCAGUGACCUGAGACGAAGACUGGACUCCUUCGGCACUGUGUCUAUUCGGAGAAUCCUUGGUUACUGCUGGGUUGACUUUGUGUAGAGCGAGCGGUUGCUAGAGGAGUCCCGAAUGAGGCACAUUACCUGCAUUGUGAGGGAGCGUCAGUUACGGCACUAUGGCUAUGUGGCGUGUUUCCCUGAGGGUGAACAUCCUCUCAGGAUGUUCAUUGCUGAGGAUCAGGCCAAAGGCAUGCCCACAUGACACCUAGCUGUAGAUAAUGGAUGACCAUUUCUGGAGGGUGGGACUGGACUGUGUGUUUGUCUGGGGGGUCACCAGCCAGGAUCCUGAGGUGUUUCAUCAUGUAGUGCAUGCUUCCCAGCCUGACACCUCAGGUUUGCUCACUGGAGGCUUUGGGCAGGGACAAUACAAAGUACUUUGUAAAAUGAUUGUGAAAAUGCACUGUACAAGUAAAAUGAAACUGAAUUGAA